AGUGAACGCUGGCGGUAGACCUAACACAUGCAAGUCGAACGGCAGCACAGUAAGAGCUUGCUCUUACGGGUGGCGAGUGGCGGACGGGUGAGGAAUACAUCGGAAUCUACUUUUUCGUGGGGGAUAACGUAGGGAAACUUACGCUAAUACCGCAUACGACCUACGGGUGAAAGCAGGGGAUCUUCGGACCUUGCGCGAUUGAAUGAGCCGAUGUCGGAUUAGCUAGUUGGCGGGGUAAAGGCCCACCAAGGCGACGAUCCGUAGCUGGUCUGAGAGGAUGAUCAGCCACACUGGAACUGAGACACGGUCCAGACUCCUACGGGAGGCAGCAGUGGGGAAUAUUGGACAAUGGGCGCAAGCCUGAUCCAGCCAUACCGCGUGGGUGAAGAAGGCCUUCGGGCUGUAAAGCCCUUUUGUUGGGAAAGAAAAGCAGCAGGUUAAUACCCCGCUGUUCUGACGGUACCCAAAGAAUAAGCACCGGCUAACUUCGUG
rnacentral:rRNA from 1 species